rnacentral:rRNA from 1 species
GUGAGGAAUAUUGCGCAAUGGAGGCAACUCUGACGCAGCCAUGCCGCGUGCAGGAAGAAGGCGCUACGCGUUGUAAACUGCUUUUAACCGGGAAGAAACCCCAGGACGUGUCCUGGGUUGACGGUACCGGAGGAAUAAGCACCGGCUAACUUCGUGCCAGCAGCCGCGGUAAUACGAAGGGUGCAAGCGUUAUCCGGAUUCAUUGGGUUUAAAGGGUGCGUAGGCGGAGCGUUAAGUCAGUGGUGAACUCCUGCAGCUUAACUGUAGACUUGCCAUUGAUACUGGCGCUCUUGAGUGCGCUUGAAGUGGGCGGAAUGUGCCGUGUAGCGGUGAAAUGCUUAGAUAUGGCACAGAACACCAAUUGCGAAGGCAGCUCACUAAGGCGAUACUGACGCUGAGGCACGAAAGCGUGGGGAUCGAACAGGAUUAGAUACCCGAGUAGUCC